rnacentral:rRNA from 1 species
UUCCCCUAGUAACUGCGAGUGAAGCGGGAAAAGCUCAAAUUUAAAAUCUGGCAGUCUUUGGCUGUCCGAGUUGUAAUCUAGAGAAGUGUUAUCUGCGCUGGACCGUGUACAAGUCUCCUGGAAUGGAGCGUCAUAGAGGGUGAGAAUCCCGUCUUUGACACGGACUACCAGGGCUUUGUGAUACGCUCUCAAAGAGUCGAGUUGUUUGGGAAUGCAGCUCAAAAUGGGUGGUAAAUUCCAUCUAAAGCUAAAUAUUGGCGAGAGACCGAUAGCGAACAAGUACCGUGAGGGAAAGAUGAAAAGAACUUUGGAAAGAGAGUUAAACAGUACGUGAAAUUGCUGAAAGGGAAACGCUUGAAGUCAGUCGCGUUGUCCAGGGAUCAACCUUGCUUUUGCUUGGUGCACUUUCUGGUCGACGGGUCAGCAUCAGUUUUGACUAUUGGAAAAAGGUCAAGGGAAUGUGGCAUCUUUGGAUGUGUUAUAGCCCUUGGUUGCAUACAAUAGUUGGGAUUGAGGAACUCAGCACGCCGAAAGGCCGGGUUUUUAACCACGUACGUGCUUAGGAUGCUGGCAUAAUGGCUUUAAUCGACCCGUCUUGAAACACGGACCAAGGAGUCUAACAUGCCUGCGAGUGUUUGGGUGGAAAACCCGAGCGCGCAAUGAAAGUGAAAGUUGAGAUCCCUGUCAUGGGGAGCAUUGACGCCCGGACCAGACCUUUUGUGACGUUUCCGCGGUAGAGCAUGUAUGUUGGGACCCGAAAGAUGGUGAACUAUGCCUGAAUAGGGUGAAGCCAGAGGAAACUCUGGUGGAGGCUCGUAGCGAUUCUGACGUGCAAAUCGAUCGUCAAAUUUGGGUAUAGGGGCGAAAGACUAAUC